GCUCCUCUAGCCCAAUUGGCAGAGGCAGGGGUCUCAAAAGCCCCAAAGUCUGAGUUCGAAUCUCAGGGGGAGUACCA
rnacentral:tRNA from 1 species